rnacentral:lncRNA from 10 species
UCAAGAGAAACUACAAUUCUGAAGUCAUAACUCUGUGGAAGCUUUUUUGUCAGAUACGGUUAUCUUUGGGUUUAAUUAUUAUAGCAGCUGAGUUUUAACCCUUGAUUUGCUUCUAAAUCUGAAGCAUUAUAUUACUAAAACAUUUUUUGAUUUGUGAAUAUGUUGUUCAAUGGAUUAUAUCUCAUUUUGCAGUAGUAGUUGCAGUGCCUGAAAGAUUGACAAAAAAAUAGUGCUAGCUUCUGCUGACAAAUGUAACAAUCAACUUACCAAUACUGCCUUCUCUUCUGAUAGCUAUGUUAUCCGUAAUAUUUUAAGAACUCAGUUCUUCAUAAGACUUGUGUUGUUUUUGAUUUUUUCCCAAGUCUGGUUGAUCCUUGUGUUGUUCUUUUUCAAUUGUGUAUUGUCUGUUCAGCUAUUCUGCAGGAGUCACAUUCUUAAAAACCUUAACCAUAUCAAAAAUUGUGUUUAAAGGAGGAUUAUUCAGAUUAGCAAGCUUUUACUAGGAGGAGUUUAAAUGCUGAUGUAUUUCGGUAACUCUAAAUACUGAGCAACUUUAUUCUAACUAUAAAAUAGAUAGCCUUUCUUUGUUUUCACUUUCACUAUCAUUAGCACCGUGUUUAAUACCUUUUCUUCAUCUAUAACACAAUUAUAACGAUAUACAAAGCCACUCAAAUAAAGCAGAUAUAUUGUGCUUUAAAAAAAAAAAAGAAAAAAAAAAGAAGUCAUUAUGUGGCACACAAUGAGGUGUGACUCGAAUCUAGAAUCUCCAGUGAAAACCAAUGAAACAGGGUCAAACCCCGUGUCUACUAAAAAUAAAAAAAUGAGCCAGGCUUGGUGGCGCUGAGGCAGGAGAAUCGCUCGAACCCAGGAGGUAGAGGUUGCAGUGAGCUGAGAUCACACCACUGCACUCCAGCCAGGGCGAGGGACAGAGCAAGACUCCCUCUCAGAAACAAACACACAAAGCCAAUAAAGAUGUUAAGGUGUUUAACUCAACGUGUCAGGCUCAGGUCUCUUGACAGGAUACAUCCAGCACCCGGGGAAACGUCGAGGGGUGGGGUGGAAUCUAUUUUGUGGCCUCAAGGAAGGGUUUGAAAGAUAGUCCCGCAAAUGUGACGGCCUAAGGAAGCCCCUCCGCCCAAGAAGCGAUAUUCAUUUGUAUCCUGUAGCCACCCACGAGGGAGAAUCGGGCUCUCUACAGACCCCCAAUCCCCACCCCACCCGAACCCACCCCCCUGCCUCGUGAAAUGAGCUCUCGCUCCGUCGGGCUCUAUUCACGCCGUGUGGUUUUGUAACCUCCAGCGUGUGUGCGUGGGUUUCGGGGUGGGGUGGGGUGGGGUGGGGGCGGCUAUGGACAGAGAAGGGGAUAAAGCGGCGGUGCCCUGCUGGUGUCCGGGACGUGGGACGUGAGUGGGGUGGCCAGAGCCUAGGGAACUCAUCGCCUGUCAAGACGUCUCCCCUCCUGGUCCCCUCUCUGACCUAUGCUCCACAUCUUCACAGUUCACUGGGGACCUUGUGGGUGGAAGUCACCAUCCCUUUGGACUUUAGCCGAGGAAGGCCGGGCUCCCAAGAGUCUCCCCGGAGUUGGGGCCUUGGGCAGGCUCACAAGGAUGCUGACGGUGAUGGUCACAGUGAUGUAAGUUGGAGGCCUCUGGCCAAUGCAGAGGUAUCCAUUUGAUCUCGGUGGGACAAGUCAGCUUUGCGGAGUCCCGCGCGUCCUUCCAGAGACUCAUCCAGCGCUAGCAAGCAUGGUCUGGAGGAUCCCAGCUCCCAGCAGAGGCACUUUUGUUCACACAGAAUACUGGGCAGAAACGUUCUCAGCAGGUUUAGACCUCCUAGUCAAAAAGCCAAAGCCACUUCUGGGAUUUUUUUUCAAAGAGCCAGUGGUUCCACAAUGGGCCGUGGGUAGUUGUGGAAAUGGAGAGAAGUGUUUGCAGAUACAUAUUUGAGACAGAACAGACAGGGCUCGGUCACAGGUCAUGAAGGACACGAGCAGAUGCACAUUGAGAAAACCCUCCCAGCAUCCUAGGUGAACAGAGGUAUGAUUUUUUGAGACAGUCGAGGGAGAUGCAACCCCAGAUUUUAGGGCUGGAUCUUUAUUAAUAUGUAGUAUCUAUGAGGUAUCCAAGUCCAGAAAUUGACUCACCAGUUCUGUACAGCGUUCGGUAGGGAGAUCAAAUCUGGGAUGUCUAAAGUUAAGAAUUCAGGCUGUGGUAAUGGAUUAGAUUAGAUGCACUUGAACUUAUUUUGCAAAGAAAGAGAGGGUGGGAGACAGCGAGAGCCAGAGAGCGAGCGAGAGAGAGAGAGACAGAGACACAAAGAUACACAAAGAGAGAAAGACAGAAAGAGAGAGACAGACAGACAGAUAAAGACACAGAGAAAGAGAGAGAUGGACAGAGACAGAGAGAAACAGAAAGAGAGAGAGAGAGACAGACAGAGAGAGACAGACAGACAGGCAGAGAAAGAGAGUAAGACAGAAGACAGAUACAGUGAGAGAGACAGGCAGAGAGAGAGAGAC